AUUGAACGCUGGCGGCAGGCCUAACACAUGCAAGUCGAGCGAGCGGCGGACGGGUGAGUAAUGCCUGGGAAUUGCCCAGUCGAGGGGGAUAACAGUUGGCAACGACUGCUAAUACCGCAUACGGUUCGAUUGCCCAGGUGGGAUUAGCUCGUUGGUGAGGUAAUGGCUCACCAAGGCGACGAUCCCUAGCUAGUCUGAGAGGAUGAUCAGCCACAGUUGAACUGUGACACGGUCCAGACUCCUACGGGAGGCAGCAGUGGGGAAUAUUGCACAAUGGGGGAAACCCUGAUGAAGCUAUGCCGCGUGUGUGAAGAAGGCCUUCGGGUUGUAAAGCACUUUCAGCGAGGAGGCGUUACUCGCAGAAGAAGCACCGACUAACUCCGGGCCAGGAGGCGCGGUAAUUC
rnacentral:rRNA from 1 species